rnacentral:rRNA from 1 species
AUUAGAGUUUGAUCCUGGCUCAGGAUGAACGCUAGCUACAGGCUUAACACAUGCAAGUCGAGGGGAAACGGGCGCCAAGCUUGCUUGGCGCAGUCGUCGACCGGCGAAUGGGUGAGUAACGCGUAUCCAACCUGGCUUCAAGCAGGGAACAGGCUUUCGAAAGAAAGAUUAAUACCCUAUGUGGUCCUCGGAAGACAUCAGAGGAGGACGAAAGAUUCAUCGCUUGAAGAUGGGGAUGCGUCUGAUUAGGCAGUUGGCGGGACAAGGGCCCACCAAACCGACGAUCAGUAGGGGUUCUGAGAGGAAGGUCCCCCACAUUGGAACUGAGACACGGUCCAAACUCCUACGGGAGGCAGCAGUGAGGAAUAUUGGUCAAUGGGCGGAAGCCUGAACCAGCCAAGUAGCGUGCAGGAUGACGGCCCUAUGGGUUGUAAACUGCUUUUGAAGGGGAGUAAAGUGAGUGACUUAUCAUUCAUUGCAAGUACCCUUGGAAUAAGGACCGGCUAAUUCCGUGCCAGCAGCCGCGGUAAUACGGAAGGUCCGGGCGUUAUCCGGAUUUAUUGGGUUUAAAGGGAGCGUAGGCUGCCCGGCAAGCGUGCUGUGAAAUACAGUGGCCCAACCACUGGACUGCAGCGCGAACUGUCGGGCUUGAGGGCGCACGACGCAGGCGGAAUUUGUGGUGUAGCGGUGAAAUGCUUAGAUAUCACGAAGAACCCCAAUUGCGAAGGCAGCUUGCGGGAGCGCGACUGACGCUGAAGCUCGAAAGUGCGGGUAUCAAACAGGAUUAGAUACCCUGGUAGUCCGCACGGUAAACGAUGGAUGCCCGUUCUGCGGCCUUCGGGCCGCGGGACCAAGCGAAAGCAUUAAGCAUCCCACCUGGGGAGUACGCCGGCAACGGUGAAACUCAUAGGAAUUGACGGGGGCCCGCACAAGCGGAGGAACAUGCGGUUUAAUUCGAUGAUACGCGAGGAACCUUACCCGGGCUUGAAUUGCAGACUAAUGCGGCGGAGACGCCGCAGUCCUUCGGGAAGUCUGUGAAGGUGCUGCAUGGUUGUCGUCAGCUCGUGCCGUGAGGUGUCGGCUCAAGUGCCAUAACGAGCGCAACCCCUGUCUCCUGUUGCCAUCAGGUAAAGCUGGGCACACUGGAGAGACUGCCGCCGUAAGGUGCGGGGAAGGUGGGGAUGACGUCAAAUCAGCACGGCCCUUACGUCCGGGGCUACACACGUGUUACAAUGGCCGGUACAGAAGGAUGGUGCCCCGCAAGGUGCAUCGAACCUGAAAAACCGGUCCCAGUUCGGACUGGGGUCUGCAACCCGACCCCACGAAGCUGGAUUCGCUAGUAAUCGCGCAUCAGCCAUGACGCGGUGAAUACGUUCCCGGGCCUUGUACACACCGCCCGUCAAGCCAUGAAAGCCGGGAGUGCCUGAAGUCCGUGACCGCGAGGAUCGGCCUAGGGCAAAAUCGGUAAUUGGGGCUAAGUCGUAACAAGGUAACCAAU